rnacentral:tRNA from 5 species
GGGCCGUUAGCUCAAUUUGGUAGAGCAGUUGACUCUUAAUCAAUUGGUUGUAGGUUCGAGUCCUACACGGCCCACCA